CUCUGUUGGCUGCUUCUGUUGUGGGGAUGGUUUGUAACCAGAAAACUGACUGUUCAUACAUCUCCUUUUGAGUUAUGUACAGGGUUACCUUCUGAUUUGGUUUUACAUGGUGAAGUUCCUUGGUUUAUUCAGUACUACUUAUAAAAGUCAAUGAGUCUCAUAAAUCCAAGCAGUAAAAUAAUAUCAUCCCAGAUAAAUUUCAGAAAAGUGGAAAUUAAAUUGCAGUAGAAAAAAAAAACACCAAACAACAAUUAUACAAUCUAUCCAUUCAUGUGGCUGGAUUUCAAAUCAGAGGUGCUCUUUCAGAAGCAGACACAGCAGAUGGAGAGAUGAAUUUCUGAACUAUUAUCAGCUUUGGAAAACUUCUGUAAAAAGACCAUGAUGCACCUCCAGAGUCAUUAUGCUUGGGUCCUACCUAACUCAAAUGAAGUAUGGAAGAGCUACUACAAGGACUGAAACAUAGUCUCAUUUCACCGAGUCCCAUUUACAGCUUCUUUCUUCAUAUGAAAAUGCUGUUUGGAACAAUGAGGUGCAGAAAUCCUUUUGUGGUACAGAGGGACCAACAGCAGAACCAAGGAAUGUGGGGAAAACUGCCUCUGCAUCAAGAACAUCAGAUAUUUUCUCUCCUCACUGAACAUCCUGCAUUCUCCCCUCAGGACUCAAGAAAAGCUCAGUGGAGAAGGACAGAUUGACAAUGUGUAGGAUUCACUUCUCUUUAAGGAAAGUUCUCAGGGAUUUUUCUCAAUAAGGAGGCUCUUCCAAAAUGGCCAUCAGCAAUACCUUAUUUCUGACCAUUCCUGUUUCUCGAAGUCUGCCUUGAACCC